rnacentral:lncRNA from 1 species
AUUAUUAUUACUAUUUGUUAUAUUUUUACUCACUAAAGAAUGAAUCAACCAUUCCCAAAAGCCACCAUUAUGGAUUGGUGAGACAUGGCACACUGCCACCUCGUUCCUUUCCUGCCCUCAGCCAUCUGCAGCUGCUGGGGACUCACUCUUAGCACUUGAUUGGGUGCAAAGUUGCCAUUCAGAUGGGAUCUGUGGUCAGGCACUGCCUGCUAGCACAGGUCACCCUCCUGAUGGACAGCAGCUCUCUUCUGCCACAAUACUGUUGAUCUGUGCUGGCUCCCCGGGUUCACACCCUUGUUGUACUUCUCAGCCAAUGGGUUUAUUUCUGUUCUUUCAUCUUUUUUUUCUUUUUUUUUUUUUUCUUUUUUUGUUGUCUUGUAAAAUGCUUGCCAUAUGUGAGGAUUAUCUGAGAAAAGGCACUUUUUGCAGUUGUUGUGGUGGGACUCACACUUUCCCAGCAUUGUCAUGUAGGAUGUUGGUGUAAACACUACCUGCUGGUGAUUAGAGGUCAUCCUGCAGUUCUCCUUUCAUCAGAGCAUAAGUACAAGCAUGGAUGCUGCAGAGGUCCUGCCUAUGCAACAGGCUGGAUUUGAGCUGGCUAAGGGCAAUGCACAUCUUUGGACCAGGAGUAACA